GCCCGAGCGCCCGCAGCCGACUGGGCUCGGCUCGCUGGGUGCACGGCCGCCAGAGGCAGCAGAGAGGCUCCCGAGCUCCGCGCCCGCCCGCCGGGGAGGGGCCGCGCGGCCACACCAGCGCCGCGUGCGGGGGACCAGAGGCUGCCGCGCGCCCGGGCGCGGAGCUGCUGCGCCGCCGCCGCCACCGCCUGCACCCGGCGGCCCCGAGCCGGGGUCGGAGGGGCCGGGGCGGGGCGCGGGUGGCUGAACCAGGACAGGCAAUACCUGGGGCCGUAAGAAGGAUGGUCUUACCCGCAGAGUUGCCGCUAGAAGACGGAAAGUUUUUGCACGCAGCCCUUCCAGCGUGUCCUUCCCUAGCCAGGUCUCUGUCGCCCACAGUGAGGCGCUCCUGCGGGAAUCCCCGCGGCUCAAUGGGGAGGAGGCGAGCUGCUUUGCACCCUCUUUACCACCCUAAACCAGAGAGGGGACCCUGGUGACUUCCCCUCCAAGCCACCACCCCCUUUACCCUUUCUUCUCUUUCACGGUGGACCUUGGAUCGUGGUGGAUUCUGCGGAAGCCUUUGGGAGGUGAGACUGGAGGGUAGAUGGAAGUGGUUCUAAAAAGCAGGUGAGCCUUGAGGUUAGACUACAGUGCUGACCCACACCUGUGCGAGACCUUGAGGCUAGAGGCACUCAGCGAAGUCAGGUCUGUACUCCUGACCCACAUAAACGGGUUACAGAAACUUCUUUGGCCUAUUUCCAUGACUGUGUCCAGUGGAAAUGCACUACUCUGCUUUUCAGAAAGCAGGGCCUCUGCUACCACCCUGCAGGAUAAUGGAGGUGAUGAUCCCGAGAAGGAAUAUACCUGUCAAAAAAGGCUCCUCAUAGUUAAUUGGGCCCAAAUUCAUAAUCAGAGUCUAACAGCUGUUGUUUACAGGGGGACUUCACGUAUGCUGCAUUCCAGGAAAAAGCCACAGAUGUGGCUGCCCAGCCUCCUGCACAAUAUUUCUGCUGU